rnacentral:rRNA from 1 species
CCUACGGGUGGCAGCAGUGGGGAAUAUUGGGCAAUGGGCGCAAGCCUGACCCAGCAACGCCGCGUGAAGGAAGAAGGCUUUCGGGUUGUAAACUUCUUUUAUCAGGGACGAAGCAAGUGACGGUACCUGAUGAAUAAGCCACGCCUAACUACGUGCCAGCAGCCGCGGUAAUACGUAGGUCGCAAGCGUUAUCCGGAUUUACUGGGUGUAAAGGGCGUGUAGGCGGGAAGGUAAGUCAGAUGUGAAAACCAUGGGCUCAACCUGUGGCCUGCAUUUGAAACUGUUUUUCUUGAGUACUGGAGAGGUAGACGGAAUUCAUAGUGUAGCGGUGAAAUGCGUAGAUAUUAGGAGGAACACCAGUGGCGAAGGCGGUCUGCUGGACAGCAACUGACGCUGAGGCGCGAAAGCGUGGGGAGCAAACAGGAUUAGAUACCCGGGUAGUC